ensembl:lncRNA
CAGCCUGCCGCUUGUUCCGCGCCGGAGACAUGAAUCUACCAUAACGGAAUUCGCGUUCCCUGUCAAAAUCGGAUAAAUCAAAACUGUUUGUUUGCCGCCUCGUGGGGGUUAUAUUUCGUUUCUGCUGGUCAAUAACUGUCGUCAAGUGAAUAGCUGUUAUCGCCAUCGCUUCAAUUCCAAACUGGAGGAGUCGUGAUCAACGGGAAUGAAAUUGAGAAAAUCGUCCGCGGGUUGGAGGACGGGGCUGAGUUUAGGUCGGGAACUACGAGUCUAGAUAUUUCUAACUUUGUGCGCAAGACUUUCUCUUUCUAUAUGGACCGAUCAACAUCACUGGAUAUCGAGGCUCUGAAGGAGUAGGAAGGAUCGGACCAAUAUGCAGCGUGAUCCUCUCAAGCUCUGUCAGGUUGGAUGGGGAGCGUCGCGGCACAGCUAUUUUCAGGUCUCUCCAGUGACGUUCGAUCGGGUUCAAGUCCAGGCUCUGGCUGGGCCACUCAAGGACAUUCAGAGGCUUGUCCCCCAAGCCACUCCUGCGGUGCCUUGGCUGUGUGCUUAGGGUCAUUGUCCUGUUGGAAGGAGAACCUUCAC